UACGUAGGUGACAAGCGUUGUCCGGAUUUAUUGGGCGUAAAGAGCUCGUAGGCGGUUCGAUAAGUCGGACGUGAAGUCUCCACGCUCAACGUGGAGGGGCCGUUCGAUACUGUCGUGACUCGAGUCCGGUAGGGGAGUGUGGAAUUCCCGGUGUAGCGGUGAAAUGCGCAGAGAUCGGGAGGAACACCCGUAGCGAAGGCGGCACUCUGGGCCGGUACUGACGCUGAGGAGCGAAAGCGUGGGGAGCAAACAGG
rnacentral:rRNA from 1 species